UUUUACUAGGUAUCUACAUUUUACAUACCUAUUUCAUCAAUGCUUCGAAAAGGUUCACAUUCUCCAGUUCCUUUAUCUGGACGAAACGCGCUCUUAUCGUGUGUACCAUAAGGAUUGAUUUUAUAAGCAUCAUGAUCAUUUUGCUGAGUUACUUCAGAUUCGUACGACGAUGGAAACGAAAUCGGUUGGGAAUUCGUAAUGUCGUCAUCCAAAAGUUUUUGUUGGCGGGAAACUUGAAAUUUUGAAUAUAGCGUGCCAUCAUGCCAAAAUGAGAAAGUCGUUUUAUACUUUUCAGUAGCUUUAAAAACGAAGUUAAAAUCAAAGCGAUAAUGGCAACUGAAUUCUACAAUACAGGGAACCGGGAACAGGUUAUUGAAAUAUUAGGUUCCUACUGGAAGAUAUGGUCGCCCGCGCCUACUCGUUUAAUGCAAAAUAGCUCUAAACGUGUAUCUUUAGAAAUUAAAUAUUGAAUCACGAAAUAAAAAACUUACAGAUUA